AUAAGGAAGUUGAGAUCUGCAAUGUGCUCGUAGAGAACGAGAUUAUAGCCGAAAAGCUAGAAAGAGCAGAGGGAACCAUUGACGACAUAGAGACACAUGUUAUUACCCAACAAUUCAAGACAAGUGAAAGUGUGGAGAAAGAUGCAGAGGGUAAAGAUGAAGGGGAGGAAGAAGAAGAAGAAGGUGGUCUUGAGCAUCAAAUGGUGCCGGAUGAAGAAGUGGAAAGGACAAUUAUUGAAGCUUUCACGGGUGUACUAGCUGAAAACAGUCCAAAACCAACCAAGAAAAAGAGGAAAUAGGUGGACCCUUCAUCUCUUGUACAGAAUGUGAAAAAUGAGACAAGAAUAGAGAAGAGGGAGGAUGGUUUUGUCUAUAAAAACUUGAAGAAGGUAAAGAAGAAUAAACAGGAGGAGAUGGAUGAUGUGAUACCAAAAUGGAAAGUUGAAAAAACAAAAUUGGAUAAAUGGCUGGAAGAAGAAGACAAAACGUUGCUGAAUCUGUUUUAUGACCUAAACCAGGGGCAUGCGAAUGAAGAAGUCUGGACAGACAACGAAACAAGUUAUACCAUAACUUUCAAAUCAAUAUAAAACUUUUGGAUGAACUAGACAUGGGGAACGAGGUAAUAGACGAUUACACAUCAAUGUUGAAAA